CUUCCUCUACAAGAAUUUCUCAAUGGUGGUAGUCAGUGUCGUUUUCGGCACAGCACCAAUGACUGCAUCUUUCUUCUCACCAUUGUUGAAGAUCAUGAUUGUUGGAAUGCUUCGUAUUCCAUAUUUGCUUGCAAUAGAAGGACUUUCAUCAGUAUUCAAUUUCAAGAACUUCAGUUUUCCAGUAUAUUGCAUUGAUAAUUCAGCGACUACUGGAUGAAUCAUUCGGCAUGGCCCACACCAAGGAGCCCAAAACUCAACCAGCACAGGCCCAUCAGCCUUGAGGACAAGCGACUGCCAUGUUGCAUCAGUCACA
rnacentral:misc_RNA from 1 species